GAUGAACGCUGGCGGCGUGCCUAAUACAUGCAAGUCGAGCGAAUGGAUUAAGAGCUUGCUCUUAUGAAGUUAGCGGCGGACGGGUGAGUAACACGUGGGUAACCUGCCCAUAAGACUGGGAUAACUCCGGGAAACCGGGGCUAAUACCGGAUAACAUUUUGAACCGCAUGGUUCGAAAUUGAAAGGCGGCUUCGGCUGUCACUUAUGGAUGGACGCGCGUCGCAUUAGCUAGUUGGUGAGGUAACGGCCCACCAAGGCAACGAUGCGUAGCCGACCUGAGAGGGUGAUCGGCCACCCUGGGACGUAGACACCGCCCGGACUCCUACGGGAGGCAGCAGUAGGGAAUCUUCCGCAAUGGACGAAAGUCGGACGGAGCAACGCCGCGUGAGUGAUGAAGGCGUUCGGGUCGUAAAACUCUGUUGUUAGGGAAGAACAAGUGCUAGUUGAAUAAGCUGGCACCUUGACGGUACCUAACCAGAAAGCCACGGCUAACUACGUGCCAGCAGCCGCGGUAA
rnacentral:rRNA from 1 species